rnacentral:rRNA from 1 species
GUCCCGGUUCCGUAGGUGAACCUGCGGAAGGAUCAUUGAAUCUAUAUCAAUCCACACUUUUUAAAGUAACGAGAACCUAAAUUGUUGGCCUUCCACCUAUACCUUGGUUGUGUGUGUAUGUGGAAUUGGCGCGGAUUUAUUUUAAAACAAAUAAAUCCGAGUCAGCCGUCAGUUGCAUGCUCUCUACUCUGACAUGCUCUGGCUUCGGCCUUUUUUUUAAACCAACCAACCAACACCAAAAAUAAAUAUUAAAUAUUUUUAAUAAUAAUGUACGUGGCUUAGAGCCAUUGCUACAUUAAAAACCAAGACAACUCUCAACAACGGAUAUCUUGGCUCUCAGAUCGAUGAAGAACGCAGCGAAAUGCGAUACGUAGUGUGAAUUGCAGAAAUACGUGAAUCAUCGAAUCUUUGAACGCAAAUUGCGCUCGAGGCUUCGGCCAAGAGCAUGUCUGCCUCAGCGUCGGGUUAAAACUCACGCCAUAAGUAAUAAUAAAAAUAAUAAUAUUAUUAUUAUUGUAUAUGGCAUGGAACUGACUUUCCCAUGCAAAUUAAUCUUUGCGUGGGUUGGUUGAAGUUUGUAGCUGCUGCAACAUGGACCCAAUAAAAUGGGCCUCUACUGGGUAGGCAGUUUUUAAUUGCUAAAUGCUUUAGUAGAUGGCUUAGGGUUUAUGGUUUUUGCUGGCACAAACCAGGAAAAUAAUAUAAUUCUUUUACCUCGACCUGAGCUCAGGCAAGAUUACCCGCUGAACUUAGUAAA